CCGAUUUUGACAUAUCUCGAGUGAAAUUCCAACGACGGGCUGGGUCUCCAACCGGAGCUAACAGACACUAGAUUAGAACUGCAAACGGAUAAGGUCAAAUUUUU